CCCGUCCGGAUUCGCCGACGGGACGGGCAUCUCCUACUGCAGUUCGGAGCAACUCCUCCCCUCCUACGGUCUGUGCAUCUUCCCGUCACUUCGUCCUUCUGAUGGGGAGAGGCCUUCCUCCUUGCGUCUCGUGGACGCGCAACUCACCGCCGGUGGCAUGAUCUUGCCAGUGCCCCGGCGUUCCUCUCCAGUGCAGCGCAGGCUAGACUGUGGCGAGUUCUUUCUCCAACACAAGCCCUGAUGACGGAUCCGGCUGCGCCACGCCUCGUCUGCUCUGCUUGUUGCUGGAAUCAGGCUGCCCCCCUGCCACAUAGCGGCUCGUCCAGGCACAUCCUUCCUCCCUCCCUUUCCUUGCAUCCCCUCCCCCUGACAUCUAUUGCAAUUUUUGGUGACAGAGAACACCGGUGUGCGAUCGGCAGUGGGUUGUUCUUGCUCAAGAUCGAUAUGGUAAGAUCCCACCAAUUUCCAAGAGCGCGACGAAGGUCCACCGCGGCGAUGACGCCCCAUGCAGUUCAGAAGAGGAUUUUUUGUUUUAUUAUCCGAUUUUGGAUGUGCAGUUGAUGCAGCGUGUGGUUGACUCAUGGGGUACGCUAUGUUUUUUUGGUUCGUGCCGUUCUAGGCGCAGUGCACCACCACACCGGCCCGGGACCCCCCUCCAUUGCUCCUCUCCCUGCUGUUCUCCGCUGAGGGCAAGCAGUGCACGAGCAGCCCAAGAGUGUUGCUGGAGCAGUUCGCUACUAAAGUCACGGUCUAGUGUUUUUUUUGGAGAAAAAAUGAGUGGACUUCAGUUCGCUAUUGUCCGUUCCUCCGCUCAUCUUACUUUCUGUUGCAGGAUAAGUGGACUUCUGUUCUCUAGUGGAAUUCAGCAAUGAAUUUGGAAAGAGUAGUGUGCUUGAUGAAUGGAAGAAGUCAUACUGUUAUUGAUUUGAGAAAAAAAAUGCAGAACAAAUUCGGUGGUUGCCUAGGGCGAGGGAGCCCUCUCCGUGGCUCACUGAAGUUUGUUUUGCAGCUCGCUUGCUAAGUGAAGUACGUUCGGCGACUGCGUGUGGUUCGGCAAGGCAAAUCAUUUGCAUUCUCGCUAUGUUAAUGUGUGCAGUACAUUUUAUAAAAAGUUGCAGUUGGGUUGUAUUUUGUGGGUGAUUGUAAUGUGGAGACAGAAAAAAGGACUUUGUGUGGAUUACUUAGUUUGUAAAGAAAAACUUUGUAAAAGCAGUGCGCUCGAUGAAUCGAAGAAGUACAUUUUUUCAAA